CUUAAAUUGAAGAGUUUGAUCAUGGCUCAGAUUGAACGCUGGCGGCAGGCCUAACACAUGCAAGUCGAGCGGAAACGAGUUAUCUGAACCUUCGGGGAACGAUAACGGCGUCGAGCGGCGGACGGGUGAGUAAUGC
rnacentral:rRNA from 1 species